AUUGAACGCUGGCGGCAGGCUUAACACAUGCAAGUCGAGCGGAGAUGAGGUGCUUGCACCUUAUCUUAGCGGCGGACGGGUGAGUAAUGCUUAGGAAUCUGCCUAUUAGUGGGGGACAACAUUCCGAAAGGAAUGCUAAUACCGCAUACGCCCUACGGGGGAAAGCAGGGGAUCUUCGGACCUUGCGCUAAUAGAUGAGCCUAAGUCGGAUUAGCUAGUUGGUGGGGUAAAGGCCUACCAAGGCGACGAUCUGUAGCGGGUCUGAGAGGAUGAACCGCCCCACUGGGACUGAGACACAGCCCAGACUCCUACGGGAGGCAGCAGGGGGGAAUAUUGGACAAUGGGGGGAAGCCUGAUCCAGCCAUGCCGCGUGUGUGAAGAAGGCCUUUUGGUUGUAAAGCACUUUAAGCGAGGAGGAGGCUACCUGGAUUAAUACUCUAGGAUAGUGGACGUUACUCGCAGAAUAAGCACCGGCUAACUCUGUGCCAGCCGCCGCCGUAAUAC
rnacentral:rRNA from 1 species